AUACACGUGUCAGUGCCGCUGGCUCAGCAGUCCCAAGGAGUGGACUAAGGGUGCACAUGAAUAGCCUGAGAGCAUUAAUCCUCAUCAUGCUGUAGCUAUGGAAAAUUAUGCCUUGACAUCAUUUUUCAAAGCCAGUAGCUCAGUAUUUCUGUAUUGAUAGAUGGAAGUUAGUGUUGGCUACUGACAAAAACCCUGGUCACGUGACCACAAGCACCAAGAGAAAAGGAUGUAACCUGUGAGUUCCCUUACUUGUGUUUUAUGGUGAUGCAAUAUCCAGGCAGCACAACGUUCUGACCAAAAAAUGGCCUUUCUGCUGUGUGAUAGUGUAUAUUCUCUCUUUCUCCUCCUUUCCCAGAGUCACAAGGCAUUCCUGAUUUGAGGAGCUGACAUCUGUUUAAGUUGCGAGUUUGUCUUCCAUGACACCUCUGGGUCCCUGUUUCAGUGUUUUACCACUCAUGGUGAAAACUUUUUUCCUUUUUUCCUUAAUAUACCCUGAAUUUCCUCUAUUGCGGUUAAUGUGUUUGUCUUGUCCUAUCACUGUUUUUCCAAGGAGUCGGAUAGUGUGGUCCAAGUUUCAAUCCUGUGUCUGCCAGAGAUAGUGAAUCUUUUUCCAUGUCUUGGAGACUUUGUUAUUGCAGUUGUCUGCGAGAUAACAUCACAGCACUGUAAGCUCUCAAGAGAAGCAGCUUGCAAAGAAGGGCUGCUUGAGCUGCACCUUUUCUAUGCCCUCCCACUGGGUAAUUAAUGGUGAAUAGCAAUAAGGUCACCCUGAAGCCUCCUCCUCUUAAAGCUGAACAAACCUAGCUCCUUCAGUGGUGAUAUUCUCCAGCCCCUGACAAUUUUGUGGCCUUCUCCUGGAAGUCUGGAACACCCAUGUGAUUUUACUGGGCUUCAAUAGUUUUAUAUGCGUAAAAGACAAUUCCAGGAUGAUGACAAGGUAAAGAUGAAUAUUUAGACAAGGACAAAGAACACAGAAUUUUUUCUUGCCUCCCCUGUAAAUAAAUAAAAGAAUUCAUGUACAUAAACCUACUCUGAAAAGGAUGCAAAUACGUCUUGUAACUAAA